rnacentral:rRNA from 1 species
CCUACGGGAGGCAGCAGUGGGGAAUAUUGGGCAAUGGAGGAAACUCUGACCCAGCGACGCCGCGUGCGGGAUGAAGGCCUUCGGGUUGUAAACCGCUUUCAGUAGGGAAGAAGCGAAAGUGACGGUACCUACAGAAGAAGCACCGGCUAACUAUGUGCCAGCAGCCGCGGUAAUACAUAGGGUGCAAGCGUUGUCCGGAAUUAUUGGGCGUAAAGAGCUCGUAGGUGGUUCGUCACGUCGGAUGUGAAAAUCUGGGGCUCAACCCCAGACCUGCAUUCGAUACGGGCGAUCUAGAGUGUGGUAGGGGAGACUGGAAUUCCUGGUGUAGCGGUGGAAUGCGCAGAUAUCAGGAGGAACACCAAUGGCGAAGGCAGGUCUCUGGGCCAUUACUGACACUGAGGAGCGAAAGCGUGGGGAGCGAACAGGAUUAGAUACCCUGGUAGUCCACGCCGUAAACGGUGGGCACUAGUUGUGGGAACCUUCCACGGUUUCUGCGACGCAGCUAACGCAUUAAGUGCCCCGCCUGGGGAGUACGAUCGCAAGAUUAAAACNCAAAUGAAUUGACGGCUGAGAGUGCGACGGACGACGACGAGGGAGAGG